UACGGGGGGGGCAAGCGUUGUUCGGAAUUACUGGGCGUAAAGGGCUCGUAGGUGGCCAACUAAGUCAGACGUGAAAUCCCUCGGCUUAACCGGGGAACUGCGUCUGAUACUGGAUGGCUUGAGUUUGGGAGAGGGAUGCGGAAUUCCAGGUGUAGCGGUGAAAUGCGUAGAUAUGGGGAGGAACACCGGUGGCGAAGGCGGCCACCUGGACGGUAACUGACGCUGAGGCGCGAAAGCGUGGGGAGCAAACAGG
rnacentral:rRNA from 1 species